rnacentral:rRNA from 1 species
GAGCACGCCGCGUGAGGGAUGAAGGCCUCUGGGCUGUAAACCUCUUUUCUCAAGGAAGAAGAUCUGACGGUACUUGAGGAAUAAGCCACGGCUAAUUCCGUGCCAGCAGCCGCGGUAAUACGGGAGUGGCAAGCGUUAUCCGGAAUUAUUGGGCGUAAAGCGUCCGCAGGCGGCCUCGAAAGUCUGUCGUUAAAGCGUGGAGCUUAACUCCAUUUAAGCGGUGGAAACUACGAGGCUAGAGUGUGGUAGGGGCAGAGGGAAUUCCCGGUGUAGCGGCGAAAUGCGUAGAUAUCGGGAAGAACACCAGUGGCGAAGGCGCUCUGCUGGGCCAUAACUGACGCUCAUGGACGAAAGCCAGGGGAGCAAAAGGGAUUAGAUACCCCUGUAGUCCUGGCCGUAAACGAUGAACACUAGGUGUCGGGGGAAUCGACCCCCUCGGUGUCGUAGCUAACGCGUUAAGUGUUCCGCCUGGGGAGUACGCACGCAAGUGUGAAACUCAAAGGAAUUGACGGGGGCCCGCACAAGCGGUGGAGUAUGUGGUUUAAUUCGAUGCAACGCGAAGAACCUUACCAGGGCUUGACAUCCUGCGAAUCCCUUGGAAACUUGGGAGUGCCUUCGGGAGCGCAGAGACAGGUGGUGCAUGGCUGUCGUCAGCUCGUGUCGUGAGAUGUUGGGUUAAGUCCCGCAACGAGCGCAACCCACGUCUUUAGUUGCCAGCAUUAAGUUGGGCACUCUAGAGAGACCGCCGGUGAUAAACCGGAGGAAGGUGUGGAUGACGUCAAGUCAUCAUGCCCCUUACGUCCUGGGCUACACACGUACUACAAUGCUACGGACAAAGGGCAGCAAACUCGCGAGAGCUAGCAAAUCCCAUAAACCGUGGCUCAGUUCAGAUCGUAGGCUGCAACUCGCCUACGUGAAGGAGGAAUCGCUAGUAAUCGCAGGUCAGCAUACUGCGGUGAAUACGUUCCCGGGCCUUGUACACACCGCCCGUCACACCAUGGAAGUUGGCCACGCCCGAAGUCGUUACUCCAACCCGCAAGGGAGGAGGAUGCCGAAGGUGGGGCUGAUGACUGGGGUGAAGUCGUAACAAGGUAGCCGUACCGGAAGGUG